rnacentral:lncRNA from 10 species
AUGCUGUUACAAAGCAGUAAAUCUGCUUCUCUGAAAGAUGUUUCCUUCCAUUGUUAGCUCUCAAAUGCUCUUUUAAUAGACAUGCAUGUGUACCUGUGUCUCAGAAGUAUUAGGGAUGCAUGAGUGAAGGGUUCUAAUUUUUAAAAUUUCAUUUGAAGAUCAAAUUCAUGCUGGUGAGAAGGGUAGUAGGAGCCUAUUACCAUAGCUAGAGAUGAUGCCACUUCAGAAAAACAAUCUUAGUCAAUAAAUAGGAAUUUUUCGGUUUGCUUAGAUUUUACCUAGCAGCUAUUAUGUCAGCAGGACCACCAGGAUAUGGGAAAACAGGACUAGAAGAUGUACGACAGCAAAGACAUGCAGAGACAUGCAGAGACACCUGGAAGGAAGCUAGGCCCUCAACAAAUUGGAUUGCAACCUAAUAUUUAAGGAAGAGUCCCUGAAGGAGGAGACGCCUGGUGCAGACACUGGGAAUGAAGUUGGUCUGCAGGUUCUGUGGUGUGUGGUGCUUGAACUCGUGGAGACUUUCCCCACCUUUCUGCAUAAAUAGUUCUAAAGAUCUACAUUGUACAGACUAUGUUCUCUUACCACAGUGCAAUUUUGUUAGAAAUAAAUUACAAAAGAAUAAUUGCUGGGAGAGAAUGCUGCAUGGAUUUCUCAUGUUUCUG